UCGCGUAAUUGUUCCGCAAAUGCGGGACGACAUUAUCAACUAAUUUUGCAGCACAUGACAUAAUAUGUGAAUAAUGUGUCUUUUUUAAGACGAUUUGGUUUGUCUGAAUGGAGCAGUUCAUCUUGAUGGGGCGUGUUACAAGUUUUUCCAGGAUAGGAAAAACUGGAGCGAAUCAAGUGAAUACUGCAAUCAGGAAUUUAGAGGACACCUUGCCAUUGUGAAUACAUCCGCUGUGUUUAAUUAUAUAAAAUCAAUCGUUAUUCAACAAAAUAUAGAGUUCACUUGGUUGGGAGCAACAGAUAACGACAGCGACGGUGUUUUUCAGUGGGUGGACGGAGGAGCUUGUUGUCCGAACUGGUGGAUACCUGGUCAACCGUCAAAACUUUCUUAUCCAGAGAAAUGUUUCGGAAUAUGGAAGAAGUAUGGUUUAAUAGGCACUGAUAAUAAUAUAUGCAGGGAACGAAACGCUUUUGUUUGCCAAAAUAAAGGCUGUCUCAACGUCCCAAAUUGCCGCCGCCAAAGUUGUAGCAAUAUAUCGU